rnacentral:tRNA from 4 species
GCCGCCUUAGCUCAGUUGGUUAGAGCGCUAGAUUGUGGCUCUAGAGGUCCCCCGUUCGAACCGGGGAGGCGGUACCA